CCCCCACCUUGGCGUGCUCAAAAGUUAAUACGUGACGAGGACGCCGGUGGUUUUCAAAAUCCGCAUGGACAAAGGGAUGAAAAAAAUGAACACUUUUCCAUGCGCUUCAACCACAUUUUCCCAGCAGCCAAACACUGCCCGUUCCAAAAAUGCCACCCAACCCCAUCAACCCAAAACCCCAUUUUGAUUUUAAACGAACUCACAAACAAGCAAGAAGUUGAAUAUUUCAGCCAAACUCUCGUGUCGAUCGCUAAAAGGCAAGGCCAGAAUCCGCGGCCGUCAAAUUUCACUUCUCCGAGAAUGUAGGAAAGUCGGUUGCCGCCUAUACCGAGGUGGGUAUCUAACGGAUUUCUGUUUCUCUCUCUCUCUUUGUCUGUGUUCUUUCAUUUUUGUCUUCUGGGUAUUUCCGAAACUUGUUGAAAUCCGAUUAUGGGGAGCGAAAAUUACUCCAAGGAAUUGGAUGUUGCCGUUAGAGUUGUCCACAUGGCGUGUUCGCUGUGCCAGAGAGUUCAGGAUGGAUUGGUUUCUGUGGAGAAGAGUGAGCAAGUUAAGUCUAAGGAUGAUGAUUCUCCUGUAACCAUUGCAGAUUGGAGCGUUCAAGCAACUGUUAGCUGGGUGUUGUCUGAAUCCUUUGGGAAUAAAAAUGUCUCCAUCGUUGCUGAAGAAGAUGUCAAGACUCUCUCCAAGGCUGAUUCUGCUGGUUUGCUCGCAGCUGUUGUGAACACUGUUAACGAAUGCUUGGCUGAAGCGCCAAAGUAUGGUCUUAAACCCCCUGCAAAGGCCCUUGAAACUUCUCAAGUUCUCGAGGCUAUCGGCCGAUGCAACUCAACCGGAGGCCCCAAGGGGCGACACUGGGUACUGGACCCUGUUGAUGGGACAUUGGGGUUCGUGCGAGGGGAUCAGUAUGCAGUAGCACUAGCAUUGAUUGAGGAUGGAAAAGUUGUGACUGGAGUUCUUGGGUGUCCUAAUUACCCAAUGAAGAAGGAAUUGCUGAAUUAUCAUUAUCAACCCCAUCAAAGCAUGUUAAAAUUUUCCCCUCCUGCUAUGAAUUCAUGGGGUAAAGGUUGUGUGAUGUAUGCUGUGAAAGGUAGUGGUGAGGCAUGGAUGCAAUCACUAACUCAUGGAGCAAAUAAACUUGAGUGGCCAAAUUCGGCGAUGUUGAUUCGGGUCUCUUCCAUUGAUGAUCCCGCACUGGCCACAUCUUGUGAACCUGUUGAGAAAACAAAUUCAAAUCACUCAUUCACGCAGGGACUUGCUCACAGUGUCGGUCUAAGAAAGCAGCCCUUGCGUGUCCAUAGCAUGGUGAAAUAUGCUGCCAUAGCUCGAGGAGAUGCCGAGAUUUUCAUGAAGUUUGCACGGUCUGGUUACAAGGAGAAGAUAUGGGAUCAUGCUGCUGGUGUUCUAAUUGUAGAAGAAGCUGGGGGUGUGGUAACUGAUGCUCGAGGUCACCCUCUCGACUUUUCGAAGGGGGUGUACUUAGAGGGUCUUGAUAGAGGAAUAGUUGCUUGCUCGGGCGCUACAUUGCAUGAGAAAAUCAUUAGUGCGGUUUAUGCUAGUUGGGAUUCUUCUAACUUAUGAGGCCUUUCAUAUCAUUCCAACAAAAUGAUGCGGCUACAUUUUGAUACUUUUGGCAGGGGCUAACACAAUUCUGAGGAGUUGCUGAUGAUGGUCACUAGCCUCAAUUUUGGUGGUGCUCUUAUGCUAUAUUUUUCAAGGGGAGUACCUGGUAAAGCUAUCGCUAAGGUCAAGUAAAUGCAAAGGAGAAGUAUUUUGUUCCUUGCCAAAGUUGACUAAAUUCAAGAGCAUCUUACUUAAUUUGUUUGUCAAUAACAUUUCAGUAAAACUAUUCAAAGUGGUUAUUCUUUUUUUCUUUUUCCUUUUUUUU